rnacentral:rRNA from 1 species
UCCUACGGGAGGCAGCAGUGGGGAAUAUUGCACAAUGGGCGAAAGCCUGAUGCAGCGACGCCGCGUGAGGGAUGACGGCCUUCGGGUUGUAAACCUCUUUCAGUUCYGAAGAAGCGAAAGUGACGGUAGGAGCAGAAGAAGCACCGGCUAACUACGUGCCAGCAGCCGCGGUAAUACGUAGGGUGCGAGCGUUGUCCGGAAUUAUUGGGCGUAAAGAGCUUGUAGGCGGUUUGUCGCGUCUGCUGUGAAAUCUCAGGGCUCAACUCUGAGYGUGCAGUGGGUACGGGCAGACUAGAGUGUGGUAGGGGAGACUGGAAUUCCUGGUGUAGCGGUGGAAUGCGCAGAUAUCAGGAGGAACACCGAUGGCGAAGGCAGGUCUCUGGGCCACUACUGACGCUGAGAAGCGAAAGCAUGGGGAGCGAACAGGAUUAGAUACCCUGGUAGUCCAUGCCGUAAACGUUGGGCGCUAGGUGUGGGUCUCAUUCCACGAGAUCCGUGCCGCAGCUAACGCAUUAAGCGCCCCGCCUGGGGAGUACGGCCGCAAGGCUAAAACUCAAAGGAAUUGACGGA